rnacentral:rRNA from 1 species
GGCUCAGGAUGAACGCUGGCGGCGUGCCUAAUACAUGCAAGUCGAACGAGUUCUGAUUAUUGAAAGGUGCUUGCAUCUUGAUUUAAUUUUGAACGAGUGGCGGACGGGUGAGUAACACGUGGGUAACCUGCCCUUAAGUGGGGGAUAACAUUUGGAAACAGAUGCUAAUACCGCAUAAAUCCAAGAACCGCAUGGUUCUUGGCUGAAAGAUGGCGUAAGCUAUCGCUUUUGGAUGGACCCGCGGCGUAUUAGCUAGUUGGUGAGGUAACGGCUCACCAAGGCAAUGAUACGUAGCCGAACUGAGAGGUUGAUCGGCCACAUUGGGACUGAGACACGGCCCAAACUCCUACGGGAGGCAGCAGUAGGGAAUCUUCCACAAUGGACGCAAGUCUGAUGGAGCAACGCCGCGUGAGUGAAGAAGGCUUUCGGGUCGUAAAACUCUGUUGUUGGAGAAGAAUGGUCGGCAGAGUGACUGUUGUCGGCGUGACGGUAUCCAACCAGAAAGCCACGGCUAACUACGUGCCAGCAGCCGCGGUAAUACGUAGGUGGCAAGCGUUAUCCGGAUUUAUUGGGCGUAAAGCGAGCGCAGGCGGUUUUUUAAGUCUGAUGUGAAAGCCCUCGGCUUAACCGAGGAAGUGCAUCGGAAACUGGGAAACUUGAGUGCAGAAGAGGACAGUGGAACUCCAUGUGUAGCGGUGAAAUGCGUAGAUAUAUGGAAGAACACCAGUGGCGAAGGCGGCUGUCUGGUCUGUAACUGACGCUGAGGCUCGAAAGCAUGGGUAGCGAACAGGAUUAGAUACCCUGGUAGUCCAUGCCGUAAACGAUGAAUGCUAGGUGUUGGAGGGUUUCCGCCCUUCAGUGCCGCAGCUAACGCAUUAAGCAUUCCGCCUGGGGAGUACGACCGCAAGGUUGAAACUCAAAGGAAUUGACGGGGGCCCGCACAAGCGGUGGAGCAUGUGGUUUAAUUCGAAGCAACGCGAAGAACCUUACCAGGUCUUGACAUCUUUUGAUCACCUGAGAGAUCAGGUUUCCCCUUCGGGGGCAAAAUGACAGGUGGUGCAUGGUUGUCGUCAGCUCGUGUCGUGAGAUGUUGGGUUAAGUCCCGCAACGAGCGCAACCCUUAUGACUAGUUGCCAGCAUUUAGUUGGGCACUCUAGUAGGACUGCCGGUGACAAACCGGAGGAAGGUGGGGAUGACGUCAAAUCAUCAUGCCCCUUAUGACCUGGGCUACACACGUGCUACAAUGGAUGGUACAACGAGUUGCGAGACCGCGAGGUCAAGCUAAUCUCUUAAAGCCAUUCUCAGUUCGGACUGUAGGCUGCAACUCGCCUACACGAAGUCGGAAUCGCUAGUAAUCGCGGAUCAGCACGCCGCGGUGAAUACGUUCCCGGGCCUUGUACACACCGCCCGUCACACCAUGAGAGUUUGUAACACCCGAAGCCGGUGAAGUAACCCUUUUAGGGAGCGAGCCGUCUAAGGUGG